AACGAACGCUGGCGGCAGGCUUAACACAUGCAAGUCGAACGGUAACGGGCCGCAAGGUGCUGACGAGUGGCGAACGGGUGAGUAAUGCAUCGGAACGUGCCCAGUCGUGGGGGAUAACGCAGCGAAAGCUGCGCUAAUACCGCAUACGAUCUGUGGAUGAAAGCGGGGGACCGUAAGGCCUCGCGCGAUUGGAGCGGCCGAUGUCAGAUUAGGUAGUUGGUGGGGUAAAGGCUCACCAAGCCAACGAUCUGUAGCUGGUCUGAGAGGACGACCAGCCACACUGGGACUGAGACACGGCCCAGACUCCUACGGGAGGCAGCAGUGGGGAAUUUUGGACAAUGGGCGCAAGCCUGAUCCAGCAAUGCCGCGUGCAGGAAGAAGGCCUUCGGGUUGUAAACUGCUUUUGUACGGAACGAAACGGCUCUGGUUAAUACCUGGGGCUCAUGACGGUACCGUAAGAAUAAGCACCGGCUAACUACGUGCCAGCCGCCGCCGUAAUAC
rnacentral:rRNA from 1 species